GAUGAACGCUAGCGGCAGGCCUAAUACAUGCAAGCUGAACGGCAAGAUUUGUAGCAAUACGAGUCCUAGAGUAGCGUAAGGGUGCGUAACACGUAUGCAAUCUGCCCGCAACAGGAGGAUAGCUUAGCGAAAGUUGAGAUAAGACUCCAUAAGAUCACGAGAGGGCAUCUGAUUGUGAUUAAACUACAAGGGGUUGCGGAUGAGCANGCGUCUGAUUAGUUAGUUGGCGGGGUAACGGCCCACCAAGACGAUGAUCAGUAGGGGAACUGAGAGGUUGGUCCCCCACACUGGCACUGAGAUACGGGCC
rnacentral:rRNA from 1 species